GGCAACCCGCUCGGGUCCCCUUCCACAAUGUGGAAGCUUUGUUCUUUUGCUCUUUGCAAUAAAUCUUGCUGCUGCUCACUCUUAGGGUCCACACUACCUUUAUGAGCUGUAACACUCACCGUGAAGGUCUGCAGCUUCACUCCUGAAGCCAGCGAGACCACGAACCCACCGGGAGGAACGAACAACUCCAGAUGCGCCGCCUUAAGAGCUGUAAUACUCACCACGAAGGUCUGCACCUUCACUGCUGAGCAAGCGAGACCACGAACCCACCAGAAGAAAGAAACUCCUAACACAUCCGAACAUCAGAAGGAAGAAACUCCAGACGUGCCAUCUUAAGAGCUGUAACACUCACCGUGAAGGUCUGCAGCUUCAUUGUUGAAGUCAGUGAGACCAAGAACCCACCAAUUCCGGACACAGAAGGACGAGGAAUGAAGGGUGUUCCGCUUUUCACCUUGGGAAGGAGGUCUCUUUACUUUUUAUUUGAAAAGGAAUUGUUUUUAUUGUUUUCCUAAAGCUGGAGAGUGAAGGAAGCCAUCCUUGAGGAGUCAAGAUAAACUUCGGAUGUAAGCUGAACGGUCACUGGGUCACAGAAUUCCACCGGGAACGGGAAGAGCCUCUGGAGCAGCGCCCACAGUCCUGCCUUCUGUGCUUGGGAGUUUUCAAAGUGAGUUCUGGGAAAUGUUAGGCCAUGUAUAAAAGAAGAGGUGGUCUUAAGAAAGGCCAUGGUACCCGUGGCUGGAGGUCCUGGACACAGCCUCUCCCUCAUCUCAUCCAUGGAGAAAGUUCCCUAUAUUAGUUUGUUCUCACAUUGCUAUAAAGAACUACCCAAGCCUGGGUAAUUUAUAAAGAAAAGAGGUGUAAUUGACUCACAGCUGUGCAGGCUGUACAGGAAGCCUGGCUGGGGAGGCCUGAGGAAAUUUUCAAUCAUGGCAGAAGGUGAAGUGGAAACAAGCACAUCUUCCAUGGCUGGAGAAGGAGGGAGAGAGCGAAGGGUAAGGCACCACAUGCUUUUGAACGGCCAAGUCUUGUGAGAACUCACUCACGAUCAUGAGAACAGCCAGGAGGAAUUCUACCCCCAUGAUCAAAUCACUUACCACCAGGUCCCUCCCCCAACACUGGGGAUUAAAAUUUGACAUGAGAUUUGGUCAAGGACACAAAUCCAAACUCUGUCAUUCACCAACAUGUUAUGGCACCUACCGCUCCUUGCCUCAAUGCUCGUUUUCAGCUAGCUUCAGUUGCCAGUUUCUGGUGCUUCUUAAAUGGGUUUCUUAAAUGGUUUUCGGAGGUUAUGUAAAAAUGUGUCACCGAAAUUUGUGUGUAUGCGUGUGUGUGUGUCUGCACACAUGCACAUGAUCUCCUGGGGGAGAGAUUCAAACAUUUUCAUCAUGUUUUCAAAAGAUGCUGGGAUCCACGGAAGGUUAAUAAUUACUUCUUCUUGUGUCCUUGUUCAGCAUGGGUUCUUUCAGUGAAAUUAGGUGAAUACAUCAUAUAGCCUGACAAUGUGAAUAUAGAUUGUGCUAUAAUUUAAGUGUUUCUUCCAAGAAGCAAGUGUUGAAAGCUUAAUCGUUAAGACAACAGUGUUGGGAGGUGGGGCCUGAUGAGGUUGAUGCCAUCAUGAUGGGAGUGAGUGAGUUACUGUGAGAGCAGGCUCCUGAUAACAGGAUGAGUAUGGCCCCCUUCCACUGCUCUCUCACACACACACUCUUGCCCUUCUGCCUUUCAUCAUGUUAUGAUGUGGGAAGAAGGCCCUCGCCAGAUGCCAGCCUCUUGAUCUUGGAUUUCCCAGCCUCCAGAACUGUAAGCCAAUAAAUUUCUGUUCAUUAUAAA